AGAGAGCUUCUGACUGAGAGAGCUUCUGACUGAGAGCGCUUCUGACUGAGAGAGCUUCUGACUGAGAGAGCUUCUGACUGAGAGAGCUUCUGACUGAGAGAGCUUCUGGACCGGACUGAGAAGUCAAUUCUGGAUAAGAUGGGGCCAUGUGACCAUUUUUCCCAACCUCGCUCUGCUGAUGUGCAAAUGUCAUUUAAUUCUGUGAUUUGCAAUUCAAUAAUGCCCAACAGAACAAACCCAGGGAGGCAGUGGAAUGGGCUGUGUCCUUUAUAACCUAGUCAGCAUCUAUAGCUGUUCUUCUCAGUGGUUCUGUCCUCGGGGGAGGGGGGUGGAUUUGUUAAUACUGGGCUAACAUGAUAUGACAUGGAGAAAGGCAGCCAGGCUACUUAUUUAAACAAAACAAAAUGAAAACUGCACUCAGAGCUGGGCAUGGUGGUGCAUGCCUUUGAUCCUAGCACUCAAGAGACAGAUCUCUUAGGCCAGCCUGGUCUACAGAGCAAGAUCCAGGAAAGCUAGGGCUACACAGAGUGGGGUAGGGCACACAAGCUGCUCUUAGUAGAUGUGGGGAAAACUGGGGUGGGUAGAUGGGGUGCUAUGUAGUAGAGAUACCAAGACUUCAUAAGAGGAAGAAGGAAGACAGGAAAAAGCUGGGCAAAGUGAUGCAUAUCAUUAAUUCCAGCACUGGUGAAGUAGAGACAGGGUGAGUUCAAGGUGGUCUCCCCAAAGUCUCCUCAUUGUCGCUCUUGCUUGCCCACAGAUCCUUAUGCUGCUUGUGCCCAAAGCCCUCGUCAUAGUUGCCUUUGGACUUGAAGAGUUGAUUGAAGUGAGGCUUACAGUAGAUUCGUCCAUGACAUGCUCACGCCCUAUGACCAGUAAGCUUUUAUUCUCUCUAGUCAAAAUGUUUAAAAGUUACUUUUCCUGUAAGUCUGUCUUAACCUUAUGGCUCCAAUCACUCAUUUCCUCAACAUUUUUUAUAACCUGUAAGUCAUAUAAUUUUCUUCUUGAUUUAUCAUCUGUGCUAAUUUUAAAAUCACAACAGUGUGAGAAUGAAUACAGUGUGCUGCACAUAUUUGGUACUUAGUGUCUGCUCCU
rnacentral:lncRNA from 1 species